rnacentral:rRNA from 1 species
AGGGUUCGAUUAUGGCUCAGGACGAACGCCGGCGGCGUGCUUAACACAUGCAAGUCGAGCGAGGUAGCAAUACCUAGCGGCGGACGGGUGAGUAACGCGUGAGCAAUCUGCCUACAUCAUCGGGAUACCACGUAGAAAUAUGUGCUAAUACCGAAUAAGACCACACCGAGGCAUCUCGGAGAGGUAAAAGUGAUUUAGCGGAUGUAGAUGAGCUCGCGUCCCAUUAGCUAGAUGGUGAGGUAACGGCCCACCAUGGCGACGAUGGGUAGCCGACCUGAGAGGGUGAUCGGCCACAUUGGAACUGAGAUACGGUCCAG